rnacentral:lncRNA from 1 species
AAUUUUUAAUUAUUUUUAUAUUUUUUUUUAAGAGAAGAGGAAAAAGAGAUAGAUGAGAAGAGAAUUCUAAAGAUGAGAGCUUAAGGAGUUCUAAAUCGAGAGACGAUAGAGGAGAGUGUUUUAAUUAGGGUUCAUGGUUGUCGGUUAGUAAUCAAGUUAUGCAGACAAUCUUAGCUAAAGAUAAUGCUAGAUCUAGACAGCUCCUAAUUAUCAAGGUUGUCUUUAAGCACUCC